CAUCGAUCGAUGAUGCAUAAAACUCUUCUCUGAGAUAGGGACACUGCCUCUGUGCCACAAAAGCCCGCAAGAGGCAAUUAUGCACUCUAACUGGAUUGAGGAAGAACAGCCUGAGGAAACUGUGAUGCUGAAAACAGCCUGAGAGGUCAGCCAGUGACAUUUGGAAAUGUUACAAAUGAGGUUUUAACAUCUCGUCUGAGAAAAGAAACGGUACGACUAAUAAUGCAGCACUCCAACUGUACUCUACUGAAGCACAAUGACAACCAUGAGCAGGAAACGUGACGCUUCAAUCACAUCUCCCCAAAAAGGACGUGAUUGAGCUCACAAAUAAUAUGGAGCCCUCAUGUAGAUUAAAUCUAAAUACUCUCAGGCUACUGCCCUGCAUGAGGUGGUAUGCACCAGAGGUGUGCUCGUGGACAAUGGAGAAGACACUGGAGCCACAACUGCACCCAUAGAGGCGAAAAGAAAGCAGAUGCUAAGUGCCUCGAUGUCUGCGUUUCCCAUAAACUUGCGCCAAGGUUUUGGGAGGACACAACUGAUGCUUUAUUGUAACAACAGUGCUAUCUAGUGGCCAAAGUGGAGAUGACAAGACCGUAACCCAGAGAAAUACGAAAUCUGGACGAGCUUCAUUGAAUUAGAGGAUCAGAGAACUUUAUCGUACAGAAGGAGGUGAUUAUAUCCAUCCUGCCUGUACUGGCUCCCAAAAGAGCUACCCAGCUAGCCCCAUUCUCCAGCCCUAUCUCCGUAACCCUUUAAAUUCAUCACUAAAAGCUGGAAAUGCUGGAAACACUCAACAGCUAUGGACAAAGAUAUAUAGCUAA